rnacentral:rRNA from 1 species
CCUACGGGAGGCAGCAGUGAGGAAUAUUGGUCAAUGGGAGAGAUCCUGAACCAGCCAAGCCGCGUGAGGGAAGACGGCCCUAUGGGUUGUAAACCUCUUUUGUCGGGGAACAAAACCCGGUACGCGUCCCCGACUGCGUGUAUCCGACGAAAAAGCAUCGGCUAACUCCGUGCCAGCAGCCGCGGUAAUACGGAGGAUGCGAGCGUUAGCCGGAUUUGUUGGGUUAAAGGGGUGCGUAGUCGGUCUGUUAAGUCAGCGGUAAAAUUGCGGGGCUAAACCCCGUCGAGCCGUUGAAACUGGCAGACUGGAGUGGGGGAGAAGUAAGCGGAAUGCGCGGUGUAGCGGUGAAAUGCAUAGAUAUCGCGAAGAACUCCGAUUGCGAAGGCAGCGUACCGGAGCCAGACUGACGCUGAGGCACGAAAGCGUGGGGAUCGAACAGGAUUAGAUACCCGUGUAGUC